UGCCUAGGAAUCUGCCUAGUAGUGGGGGACAACGUUUCGAAAGGAACGCUAAUACCGCAUACGUCCUACGGGAGAAAGUGGGGGAUCUUCGGACCUCACGCUAUUAGAUGAGCCUAGGUCGGAUUAGCUAGUUGGUAGGGUAAAGGCCUACCAAGGCGACGAUCCGUAACUGGUCUGAGAGGAUGAUCAGUCACACUGGAACUGAGACACGGUCCAGACUCCUACGGGAGGCAGCAGUGGGGAAUAUUGGACAAUGGGCGAAAGCCUGAUCCAGCCAUGCCGCGUGUGUGAAGAAGGCCUUCGGGUCGUAAAGCACUUUAAGUUGGGAGGAAGGGCU
rnacentral:rRNA from 1 species